AGAGAAUUACUUGGCCUAACAUACUCACACCCUUCCCUUAACUCCUGGUAGUAGGAGACAGAGGACCAGCCUUGUCUCUGGCAUGCCCAAUGAAUUGAUGGUCCAGGCAUCCCACGUUGGUAGGGAUUCAGUUCGAGUGUUGAGUAGCUAAACUGUAUUGCAAAGCUGAGCUGA